AGAAGGGGUAAGCCCCUAGGGAAAGCAGUCCAGGAAGAAGCGCACAAGCGCGAAACGCGUUGACAUUAAGAUUGGUCAGAGAGGGGACCCAUAGCAGAGAACUCGGCUUCAGCGGUGACAUCAUCCUAGGAACGGCGCGAAACCGAGAACACGUAGUCCGUGCCUCUCUCCAUAGAAACCCAUAAGUGCUCAGUAUUGUGGUAUUGCUGUUAUUGUCUUCUGUCCCGGACAGAACAAAAUAUCCUCAGAGUCCCAUCUACGCAAUACAAAAAAGCUAUGGGAAGAUGAAGAGGGGCGGCCAACACAGCAGUCUCUCCCAGUGUCACCAAGAAGUUUACAAUCCAGGACAAACUUGUUCCAUGGAGAUUCGUUUUCAAAUUCUGAUUAGUCGGAGCUCCAAUUACACCAAAUGAAAUACAGAAGAUGGGCCACUAGGUUCCCAUAAACGUUCUAAAUGUCUUAAUUGCUCCUGUAAAAUUUCCAUUUCAUAAAGAUCCCGGCUGUAUUUAUUAAAUCCGGUAACCUAAUUACA